rnacentral:rRNA from 1 species
UACGAAGGGUGCAAACGUUGCUCGGAAUCAUUGGGCGUAAAGCGCACGUAGGCGGCCUGAUAAGUCGGAUGUGAAAUCCCACAGCUUAACUGUGGACGUGCAUUCGAAACUGUCAGGCUCGAGUAUGGAAGAGGGUCGCAGAAUUCCCGGUGUAGAGGUGAAAUUCGUAGAUAUCGGGAGGAAUACCAGUGGCGAAGGCGGCGACCUGGGCCAAUACUGACGCUGAGGUGCGAAAGCGUGGGGAGCAAACAGG